rnacentral:lncRNA from 1 species
UAUCUACGCAUGCGCGGAUUAACUGCGUACAUAAAAGGCGGUGGGAUCGACACGAGUCACAAAGCGCCCAUUCCAGUAUCCAUACUGUACAUCUCAACAAUAUCUCCAGAUAAUCACACACAUCACCAGUUAGACAGCCACCAUGUCCGGUCAAGGAGGCAAAGUUCCUACACAGAAGGACAAUGACAAUCAUGCCGACCAAUGUAACCCCAACAGUACGAAGCACCAAGGUUAUAGCAGCCCAUUCAAGGGGGGCAAGAAUGAUGCCGAUAAUCACAGCGUCCAGCGAAAUCCAAACAACGACAAGUACACAGCCCCCAAAAAGUGAUAAACGGCUGGACAAUCCAGGAAUAUGAGACUAUGGCGUCUGAAAACAAAAUUUGAGAACAUUAACUUUUUUUAAAUGUACAAGAAAUUGCAUACCAGCAAAAAGUUUUGAUGUUGUGAAUCAAUUUAACCAUGUCUCUUAAUAAAACAUAUUGAUUUGA